GGUCCGGGAACGCCAUCUCCGUGCUUGGAGCUCCACCGUCGCCGGCGAAGCGCUCCAUUUUACAGUGGAGUGAAUGGUAAAAAAAAUACCUUCUAGCGCCGUCAAGGGUUCUGGGUUGUUCGGUAAAUGAGAGUAAAAGAGGUUAUUUACGGCGGUGUCCUUGGAGCUUACGCGUCGGGAUCGAUGUUAACGUUCCUACUUGGUAAGUUCGUGACAAGUUCUCUGUUCUUGCAUCUUUGUAAUUGGAUUUCAAUCGGUGUGAAAUAAAUGCGUAAAUGAACGAAGAGUAUUAUUAUUUUUUAAUACAAAGACAUAUUUUUAAGUUUUUUAA